GGGGUUGUGGCUCAGUGGUAGAGCACUUGCCUAGCAUGCAUGAGGCACUGGGUUCAAAUCUCAGCACCACA
rnacentral:tRNA from 1 species